CCUACGGGUGGCAGCAGUGGGGAAUAUUGGGCAAUGGAGGCAACUCUUACCCAGCAAUGCCGCGUGAAUGAAGAAGGUCUUCGGAUUGUAAAGUUCUGGAAUUGGGGACGAAAAAAAUGACGGUACCCAAGGAAUAAGCCUCGGCUAACUACGUGCCAGCAGCCGCGGUAAUACGUAGGGGGCAAGCGUUGUGCGGAAUGACGGGGCGUAAAGGGUGUGUAGGCGGUGUAGCAAGUUAGAAGGGAAAUACCUAGGUCUUAACUCGGGUGCUGCUUCUAAAACUGCUAUACUUGAGUGCAGUAGAGGCAAGUGGAAUUCCUAGUGUAGCUGUGUAAUGCGUAGAUAUUAGGAGGAACAUCAGUGGCGAAGGCGACUUUCUGGACUGUAACUGACGCUGAGGCACGAAAGUGUGGGGAGCAAACAGGAUUAGAUACCCUAGUAGUC
rnacentral:rRNA from 1 species